rnacentral:misc_RNA from 1 species
GAUGAAGAAAGUAGCGAAAUGCGAUAAGUAGUGUGAAUUGCAGAAUUCAGUGAAUCAUCGAAUCUUUGAACGCACAUUGCGCCCCUUGGUAUUCCAUGGGGCAUGCCUCUUCGAGCGUCAUUUGUACCUUCAAGCUUUGCUUGGUGUUGGGUGUUUGUCCUGAGGGACUCGCCUUAAAGUAAUUGGCAGCCAGUGUUUGGUUUUGAAGCGCAGCACAAGUCGCGAUUCAAAGCUAUACGCCCGCUUCCACAAGCCUUUUUCACUUUUGACCUCGGAUCAGGUAGGGAUACCCGCUGAACUUAAGCAUAUCAAUAAGCGGAGGA